rnacentral:rRNA from 1 species
UUUAUUUUUAUAGGGUUUUUUUGUUUAUUUUAUAUUUUUUUAAGUUUUUAAUAAAUUAUUUUAUUUAAUUACUGUUAAGGUUUAUAUUAGAUAAUAAGGUUAAAUUUUUAGUACCUUUUGUAUCAGGGUAAGUUUAAUUUUUAAUAUAUUUGUUGUUCCCGAAUUUUAGAUAUUUAUUUUUAUAGAAUUAAAGUUGUUUUAUAAACUUAUUUAAUUUAAUUAUUGUAAUUAUAUGUUAACGUUCUUUUUAUAUAUCUGGUUAUUGAAGAUUUAAUUUAAUUAUAGUUUUCUAUGUUUAUAUGUUUAUGUUUAUUUAGGAUACUUAAUUUAUUGAGGAUAAUCUUGAUAUUUAAUUAAAAUUUUUAUAUAUUUAUUUUUAUUAUUAAUGGAAUCUUAUUUUUAGUUCUUAAUAGAUUAUUUUAUAAUUAUUUGAUUUAAUUUAAUUUAAUUUUAUAUUCAGUUUUUUUAUUUAAUUUUUUAAUAUUUUAAUAUUGAUUUAAUUAGUAUAAUUUGAAUUUUAAGUUUAAUGAAUUCGGCAUAUUUAAUUUUCAACUGUUUAUCAAAAACAUUUCUUUAUGAUUUAUAUAUAAAGUAAUUUCUGCCCAAUGAUUUAUUUAAAUGGCUGCAGUAUAUUGACUGUACAAAGGUAGCAUAGUAAUUAGUUUUUUAAUUGGGAACUUGUAUGAAAGGAUAAAUGAAAUAUUAUCUUUAUUAAUUUUAUUAUUAUAAUUUUAUUUUUUAGUUAAAAAGCUAAAUAUUGUUUUAGGGACGAUAAGACCCUAUAGAAUUUAAAAUAUAAAUUUGUUGGAUUAUUUUUAGAUUAAAUUUAUUCAUUUAAUUUAAAUUUUUAAUUGGGGUGAUUAAUAAAUUUUACUUUUUUUUUUAAAUUCAUUUAUAUAUGUUUAUUUGAUCCUUUAUUUAAGAUUAUAAGAUAAAUUACCUUAGGGAUAACAGCGUAAUUUUAAUGGAAAGUUCAUAUUUAAAUUAGAGUUUGCGACCUCGAUGUUGAAUUAAGAUAGUUUUAUGGUGUAGAAGCUUUAAUCUAAAGUCUGUUCGACUUUUAAAAUCUUACAUGAUUUGAGUUCAAACCGGUGUAAGCCAGGUUGGUUUCUAUCUUAAAAUUUAUUUUAAUUAUUAGUACGAAAGGACCAUAAUUAAUAGUUUAAAUUAUAUCUUUUAG